rnacentral:tRNA from 1 species
GAAAUAUGAGAUUCAAGAAUGAGCUUCUAACUAUAUUCUUUAACGACGAAACUUCGUUAAUAUUUCU